rnacentral:miRNA from 1 species
GGGUUCUGCGUAGAGCACUGG